AGCGAACGCUGGCGGCAGGCUUAACACAUGCAAGUCGAACGGGCGUAGCAAUACGUCAGUGGCAGACGGGUGAGUAACGCGUGGGAACGUACCUUUUGGUUCGGAACAACACAGGGAAACUUGUGCUAAAUACCGGAUAAGCCCUUACGGGGAAAGAUUUAUCGCCGAAAGAUCGGCCCGCGUCUGAUUAGCUAGUUGGUGAGGUAAUGGCUCACCAAGGCGACGAUCAGUAGCUGGUCUGAGAGGAUGAUCAGCCACAUUGGGACUGAGACACGGCCCAAACUCCUACGGGAGGCAGCAGUGGGGAAUAUUGGACAAUGGGGGCAACCCUGAUCCAGCCAUGCCGCGUGAGUGAUGAAGGCCCUAGGGUUGUAAAGCUCUUUUGUGCGGGAAGAUAAUGACGGUACCGCAAG
rnacentral:rRNA from 1 species